rnacentral:misc_RNA from 1 species
UCAGGAAGCAAAAUCAACCUUUAAGCUUAAACAUUCAUCGACAGAAGCAAUGUAAACAAUACUGUCGAACUUGGGGGAAAGUGAUCCUCAAAGUAAUCUAAAUGUCUAAAUUACCAGGUACAAACCCAACGUUGACAUCUGAAAAUCCUAUCUUCUACAGAGGUGUUGUGAGAGCAUUACAUUCUGUCUUGUGUUAGAUAUCUAAAUUAUAAGUGGUUCCCCCAAAAUAAUUCAAAUCACUAAUGGAUCUCAAUUAAAUCACCACCAGGACUGGUUAAAAGUUGUUUACCUUGGUCUUGACAGAUGUAUUUCUCUUUGAAGCAAAUGUUUCAGCAACCAGUAGGGGAAAAGCAAUAGUUGCAUCACAAUGCACUUUGACAGUUUUAGCAGAUCCUCGAAUUUUUCCCCAUGAUACAGCCUCAUCAGGACGAGCUCCAGAAUCACUCCCAUCAAAUUCUUGUGCGGUAUUGAUAAAAACAGCAUAAUCUGCACCAUUACGCAUCAUAUUGGCGUUGCAUAUGUGAUGCUUAGGAAGCCCCCCUCCAAGAACGAUGAUUCCAGUCUUCCUAGGACUUGCAUGGACAGCUUCACCAUUCAUAGCCCUGAUGUCUUGAACAAUGUCAACAAUUAGACCUGGGCUGCGAAAGGAGUGAAAGUACAACAUGUCCCCCAAAGAACCAUCUGUUAAACCUGGACAAAAUACUGGAAUGUUGUUCUUGUAUGCCCAAUAAAGGUAUGAACUCUCAUUAUUUAUUUCUUUCCCCAAUCGACCAAUUACUUUAGAUGGUGUCCACGAAACAUUCUCUUCAAUUUGUUCCUUCAACAUCUGGUCAAAAAUUGGAAUGAUCCAGUCCUCAAAUUUGCAAUAGUUGUCAUUUGGAACCAACAAGUUACCAAUGCGGUUCAAUCCCUUUGAACGCAAAUGAGCUCCAGGUAGAUAAAAGUCACCUUUGUAUGUGGGUGCAAGGCAUUUUAUAAGAUCUUCUUCUAUGCCACCAGCAGUUGUAACCACUACAUCAACCUACAUUCACAUUAUAAACUACACUUUCUUACAUAUAGUUGAGAUAUAAGGCAAAUCUACUUAAAAGGUUGGACCACCUAAAGUAUUACAUGAAUCACAGCCAAAGUUUGAAGCAAAAUUUUUAGACAUAAUGAUAUUAAAAUGAUCAGAGGCUUCACCAGUUGUCCAAAAUUAGGAAGCAUUCCUAGAUGGUCAGAAUAAUUCAACUACUUCAGCAGAGCAACGUAAAACAUUUUUAACAGCAACACAGAGGAGAAACCAGAAAUAAAAAGAAAGCAGUCUUUAAGGGGCUGCCAAAAGAUGAAUACUAAGAGAAGAGAAACUGCAAUGCAAAACACCAACAUAUCCAUCCCUUUUUUCAAGACCACCACUUGAGCAGAACUCAUCAAAUUACUAACCACAAAACAUUUUCAAUAACUCCUUCGCAUGUGCAUUUUCUUUCCCCUCUUCUCAAAUCCAGCAUUUAAGAAGAAUUCGUCAAUUUAACAACAGCCAAGAAUUUUUUAUAAUCUUCUAUUUUGCAUCUAAAAUUUCCCCUGGUUUCACAUCCAACAUUGGAGAAGAAUUCAUCAAAUUAAUAACAUCAAAAAUUUUGGCUGCUUUUUUACUUUGUUUCUGCCUGUAAAGAUUCACAUCUUGAGUUCCAUAUAAACUAAACAGCUACACAAGGGUUGAGUCCUUUCUUAAGUAUUUAAACAAUAAAAUUACAUAAUGUUACAGUCAGACUUUAAAUUUGAUCCAACAUAUCACACAUGAUCAUAUUAAAACCUCAAUUCCUCACCAUAUGAUGCUGAACAAGAUAGCGAAUUAUAUCUCUAACACCAGAAGAAACAAGAUUUGAGGUAAAACCCAAGAACACUUUGCAUUUCACAGACUCUCUAUAAGCAGGGUCCCUUUCCUCCUCAUUGCAAUCUUCUGUUAUAUCCUCAUCAGCAAGCCUCCAGUCAUGUGGUUCACAACUGCAAUGGCGUCACCAAGGUUGGAUGCUUGAAACCCAGUGGAGACCAUGGAUUUGAGAAGCUGAGAGUAGUUAACUCCUUCAUUAAAAUCAUAACCUUCAAUUUUAAUGCAUUUCCCUUCAAGGUGUUCAGACUCUUUGAAAACUAUGGCAUGUACAGAUGAUGGCAAUUGCUCCUCCAUUGAUCUUUGGAAAAAUAAAGCCUAACUGCAGAAGGAUCACAGUGACACCAAAAGGCUAAAUUUUGAUUCUCUUUGCUUGAAAUCUCUUGGGAUUGCAGAUAGAAAGUGGUGGUGGUGUUCUAUGAUGCGAACCAGAGAAAAUCUUCCCCUAAAACCCUAGUUGCUUAGUUCCACAUUCAGCUUUGUGCGUGCGAAGGAGCUCUAAAAAAUGGUAUACCAGUGCGCUAUGGAGAAAGUACACCAUUACACCAAAAACAGCA